CGCUAGUGGGCGGGGUUGCGAGGGAAACUCCUGCGCAGGCGGGGAAGAAGGGAGGCCAGUAAAACGGUAGAUCGUGAAACUUGCAGAGUCGCUCGAAUGCACCGAUAGGCGAGGUCCCUGCUCUUGGAAUUUUGCCCUUUAUAUAAUGACCACGUCCUUCGCCUGCUUGUCGGAAGCCAACUCGUUGCGAGUGUGUCCCGAGAAAGUAUCCUUGAAUUAGGGACAGUUGCAACCAAUUAGUCACAGACUUUCUUUUGAAAAGAGUGCAGAGAUUUGAAUGGCAUGGUGUAGGGCAGAAUGAUGCCUGGUUUGGGAAGUUACAGACAAGGGGUUAUCAACAAUCUCGCCAAGGCUCAAGGUUGACUCAGCCUUCCAUCCUUUCUAAGGUUGCCCACAAUUAUGUGGAAAUGAUGUGAGCAAGUGUGGGGUGGAGAAUAUGCCACCACAUCCUGGCUGCAAAACUCCAGACCAUGAAUAAGCAGCAGAGACAUACAGAAAACGUGAAGGCUUUUCUGUUAACAGGCUGAUGCCCCUCUUCUAGAGGAAUGACACCACUGGUACAACUUACUUCACGGCACAAG